rfam:Schistosoma curassoni strain Dakar, Senegal genome assembly, scaffold: SCTD_contig0001700
AUUCAACUGAUGAAUCCAAAAUAGGACGAAAGACGCAUCGCGAAU